AGGGAUUUAGCUCAGUGGCCUAAGUGUCUGCCUGGCAAGCACAAGAUUGUGAGUUCAAUCCCUG
rfam:Cavia porcellus supercont2_123 genomic scaffold, whole genome shotgun sequence.